GCCAGUGCAAAAAAGCCUUCUGGAACAAGGUAACUCUGCCAGCAGAGAGCUGGAAAAUGGAGAGAGCUGCUAAGUCUGACAUCUCCUGUUCUUGAUGCAGGCUUAUCUCCAAAUGACCAAAUGUAAAACUUGACAUUGCCUUAGAGAUACAUGAAACAAUGGAACUGGAGCAACCAAUCUAUUGUAUUGUAAAUCUGGCCACAUAACAGCAGUGAAAACCUGUGAUUAGAGGAACCCAGCUUUCUAAAGGACUAAAGAGGGUUUGAUCCAAAGCCUGUUGAAGUCCAUGGAGAGGAAUGGUUUCUCAAAUACAGCAGGAAUGAGAGACAAGGAAGAGGAAAAACAGUGGAGAACUUCAGGGAAAGAAGAGCAAAGGGAAAAAAAUUAUAAAGUGACAGGCUAAUCAGAAUUAUAUCACAGCUUGCCCUCUUUAAUCCCCACAUAUGUUCUCCAUUGUUCUUGUUAGUUUUUCAUAUAUUCUUUAUGGUAAGGUCAGAGCUAGCACCUUGUUUCUGGAAGAGAAGCUCCCUGCACUAAAGCAUUUUACCAGCUGGCUGUAAGGCUCUUCACAUCAAACCUUGAAGGAAAGACCUGCUCUUCCUCUACCUCAGAGCCCUCCUGACAGGCAAGUGGAGAUGCCUUUUCUUCUGGGACCUGCUCCUCUAUCAGUCCCCUCACAGGACUGUAGGUUCUUCAGUUGUGUGCUGUUGUGCUGCAAAAUGCCUCUUUUGUCCCCCUCUUCUCAUUGCAGACUCAGUCAUGGCUCAGAAACAGAGAGAGCCAACCACAACAACUUCCCCCAGAGGUUCGGAACUAAUAUUAACACAGUCUAUUACCUUCAAAGAAAUUAACUUAUUUUGAAUGAGACUGGAUAAAAAAUUAAUGUGAAUGUGUAGAUGUUAAAGUAUCUUUUCUGUUAUUGAAUUAUUCUUCAGGCCUUUGCAUGUUCUCAAUUUGCCUUUCUUCCAAGGUGAAAUUCAACCCAGGCAAAAUUUACUUUCCCCUCCAUUAUGAUCAUGAAACUUUUACUUGAGUAAAUUUUCUUCCUUGAAGCCAAAUUCAGUUCUGUGUUUCACUCAAUUUUAUUUGCAGUCAAAAGCACCAAAUCUUCUUAAAGUACACAGAGCAUAUAUUUGGUCCACUGUGAAGCCAGAGUCACUAAUGAGCAUGGAGUUGCUCAUCAACAGGGUGGGUGUUUGCUAGAGAAAAUACUAUUUGGAAAAGUUGCACGUUACUUGAGUAAAUUCCCCAUCAGGAGGCCAGGCUGCUAAGCUACUGGAAAAGUAGGGUAGUCAGCAAUAGAGAAGCUUUUGGAAGGUUAAGUGUGAUCAGAUUAUUUGACAUUGAAGUCAAUAGAUCAAUAGGUUCCUGUACC